CCUACGGGGGGCAGCAGUGGGGAAUAUUGGACAAUGGGGGGAACCCUGAUCCAGCCAUGCCGCGUGUGUGAAGAAGGCCCUCGGGUUGUAAAGCACUUUCAGUGAGGAAGAACGCCUGGUGGUUAAUACCCAUCAGGAAAGACAUCACUCACAGAAGAAGCACCGGCUAACUCCGUGCCAGCAGCCGCGGUAAUACGGAGGGUGCUAGCGUUAAUCGGAAUUACUGGGCGUAAAGCGCGCGUAGGUGGCUUGAUAAGCCGGUUGUGAAAGCCCCGGGCUCAACCUGGGAACGGCAUCCGGAACUGUCAAGCUAGAGUGCAGGCGAGGAAGGUAGAAUUCCCGGUGUAGCGGUGAAAUGCGUAGAGAUCGGGAGGAAUACCAGUGGCGAAGGCGGCCUUCUGGACUGACACUGACACUGAGGUGCGAAAGCGUGGGUAGCAAACAGGAUUAGAUACCCUAGUAGUC
rnacentral:rRNA from 1 species